rnacentral:misc_RNA from 1 species
GAAAUGCGAUAAGUAAUGUGAAUUGCAGAAUUCAGUGAAUCAUCGAAUCUUUGAACGCACAUUGCGCCCGCCAGUAUUCUGGCGGGCAUGCCUGUCCGAGCGUCAUUUCAACCAUCAAGCCCCCGGGCUUGUGUUGGGGACCUGCGGCUGCCCGCAGGCCCUGAAAACCAGUGGCGGGCUCGCUGUCACACCGAGCGUAGUAGCAAUCACCUCGCUCAGGGCGUGCUGCGGGUUCCGGCCGUUAAACAGCCAUACAAAACCCAAGGUUGACCUCGGAUCAGGUAGGAAGACCCGCUGAACUUGAGC